rnacentral:rRNA from 1 species
UACGUGAGGGGCGAACGUUGUUCGGUGUCACUGGGCUUAAAGGGUGCGUAGGUGGUUUCGUAAGUAAGGUGUGAAAGCCCUCGGCUUACCCGGGGAAUUGCGCCUUAUACUGCGAGACUUGAGGAUUUCAGGGGAAUGGGGAACUCCAGGUGUAGCGGUGAAAUGCGCAGAUAUCUGGGGGAAGACCGGCGGCGAAGGCGCCAUUCUGGGAAAUUCCUGACACUGAAGCACGAAAGCGUGGGGAGCAAACAGG